rnacentral:rRNA from 1 species
AACCGUUGGUACCAGCGGAGGGAUCAUU